GAUGAACGCUGGCGGCGUGCCUAAUACAUGCAAGUCGAGCGAACAGACGAGGAGCUUACUCCUCUGACGUUAGCGGCGGACGGGUGAGUAACACGUGGAUAACCUACCUAUAAGACUGGGAUAACUUCGGGAAACCGGAGCUAAUACCGGAUAACAUGUUGAACCGCAUGGUUCAACAGUGAAAGACGGUCUUGCUGUCACUUAUAGAUGGAUCCGCGUCGCAUUAGCUAGUUGGUAAGGUAACGGCUUACCAAGGCAACGAUGCGUAGCCGACCUGAGCGGGUGAUCGGCCACACUGGAACUGAGACACGGUCCAGACUCCUACGGGAGGCAGCAGUAGGGAAUCUUCCGCAAUGGGCGAAAGCCUGACGGAGCAACGCCGCGUGAGUGAAGAAGGUCUUCGGAUCGUAAAACUCUGUUAUUAGGGAAGAACAAAUGUGUAAGUAACUAUGCACGUCUUGACGGUACCUAAUCAGAAAGCCACGGCUAACUACGUG
rnacentral:rRNA from 1 species